CCUACGGGAGGCAGCAGUAGGGAAUAUUGCUCAAUGGGGGAAACCCUGACGCAGCAACGCCGCGUGGAGGAUGAAGGUUUUAGGAUUGUAAACUCCUUUUGUUAGAGAAGAUUAUGACGGUAUCUAACGAAUAAGAACCGGCGAACUCCGGGCCAGCAGCCGCGGUAAUAAGGAGGGGGCAAGCGGUAUUCGGAAUCACUGGGCGUAAAGAAUGCGUAGGCGGGGUAAUAAGUCAGAUGUGAAAUCCUGUAGCUUAACUACAGAACUGCAUUUGAAACUGUUAGUCUGGAGUGGUGGAGAGGGAGGCGGAAUUCUUGGUGUAGGGGUAAAAUCCGUAGAGAUCAAGAGGAAUACUCAUGGCGAAGGCGAACUGCUGGAACAUUACUGACGCUGAUGCACGAAAGCGUGGGGAGCAAACAGGAUUAGAUACCCUGGUAGUC
rnacentral:rRNA from 1 species